CCUCAAGGGUUUGUUUUAAACUAGUGUGUGAAGGAAUAUGGAGCAGCUCUCACCGGCGAUAUGAAUCUCUCUGCAGGACCACAUCGAGAAACACAUUUUCAUUUAUCGUCAGAUGAUUCAUUGACUCUGGAGCAGAUCGCUUGAGUCCGAAUCUCAGAGCUGCCACCUACCAGCUGUGCAAGCUUGGCCACCGUGACCACUUCAGUUCUUAGUGACUCAGUCUCUCCAUCUGAAAAACAGAGCACGCUUCUUGAGACAUUAUUUUCGUGACUUAUUUUCAGACAGUACUACACAUUCGCCUAGUGAUAGAGGAAAACAAAACGUUUGCAAUCCAGAGAAAAGCUUAGAAAGCAGUUGGAAUUUACUACCAUUCUGACAAAGCUUGAUCGAUUGAGCUCUCCGCUCUGAAAUUAUAUUGACACACUGCUCCUAGCAGGCGUUAUUGGGUUUGUUGUGGAUGCUUUUGUUUUAAGAAAAGAAGAUUAGCCCUGAGCUAACUACUGCCAAUCCUCCUCUUUUUGCUGAGGAAGACUGACUCUGAGCUAACAUCCAUGCCCAUCUUCCUCUACUGUAUAUGUGGGAUGCCUACCGCAGCAUGGUGUGCCAAGCGGUGCCAUGUCUGCACCAGGGAUCUGAACUGGCGAAUCCCGGGCCACCGAGAAGCAGAACGUGCAAACUUAACCACUGCGCCACCGGGCCGGCCCCUGAGCAUUUUCUUUACUAAAGCUGAUUACUGUUUUCCUGCCUACAAAGUAGCCAACCCUACAAUGCAGCAUAGUUAGCCAUAAAAUUAUGAUUUUUAAAAUAAUUACUAUAAAAGUAAUGAUCUCUUUAUCAUAAUUACAUGAACCUCUAUAAACUUCUAAUGUCAGUAUAAUGAUUUUCUUUUCUAUGAAUUUGAAUUUGAUUUAAGUGAGAAACUGAGUAAUACCAUGACUUACAUUUAUGGUUGGGUUUCUUUAGAGUCGUGCUCCCUAAAUGGGCUACUAUUUCCUACUGGUAGGAAGAAGAUACUUGAGUAGAUCGCUCACUGUCUCAGUUUCACACAUGAUGAAACAACUAGAUACUGGGUCUCAAAACUAAAAUAUCAAGGAAGAUCUAGGAUCUUAGAAGAUCCAACUCAGUGUCCAACAUUGGGACGUGAGGCCUGGACUCUGAGCUCCUCUCCGGGGGGUGAAGAGGGGGAGCAGAGCCCACGCUGCGCCUGGAUGGAGCUCAGAGAGGAGAAUGUGUAUCACGUGGUCAGCGUUCAACACCCAGCUCCAGGGAGGUCGGCUUUUGUCUCUCUAGUCUGGAAAUGGCACUAUAUGCACACAGCUGACCAGUCAUAUCCACCUGCCUUUCCCAGCUUGGUGCUCACAGCACUGGUCAACUACGCCCCUCUAUGCAGCCCGUGUUCUAAACCCUUACUGUCCCCAGCUCCCUAGUGCCACGGUCUUUCAUACCUUAGUGCUUUUGAACACACUGUCCCCACUUCCUGGAAGCCCUGGCUCCUGACUCUGCCUGUCAACUUCACCUUUUACUCAUCUUUCAAGCCCCAGCUCAUGUGUCGCCACUUAAGUGAAUGAAACCUUCCCCAGCUCCUCCAGCUAUUUUUUUUUCUUGGUAGGUGGGGAGCAUGGGGUGAUUGGGAAGUUUGAAGAACGGUGGAAAAGAGAACCAGCAUGUUUGGGGCAUGGAAUUUAGUCCUUACUGCCUGUGAGGUGGGUGUAUUUAUCUCUACUUUUCAGAUGAGAGCACAGAGAGUGAUUGAGUUAAGUGGCUUGAUUAGGACUCGGGUGUAUGUGAUUCCAAAGCUCUUCCCAUCCAGUCCCAUCAGGAGACUUGCCCUCAUUUGGGUUCCAGAAGCACAUGAUAGUAUACUGUUUUGGCCCCCACCAGACUUGGUGCCCCUUAGCAGCCAGUCCCUGUUCGUUCUUAUCUGUUCCUGGCAUUUGCCGCGGCAUUUGGCACAUAGGUACUUAGUAGACACGUGCUGAAUGAGUGAAUGAACAAAUGAAGAACGCCCCUAUU
ensembl:lncRNA